rnacentral:rRNA from 1 species
ACGAACGCUGGCGGCGUGCCUAAUACAUGCAAGUAGAACGCACAGUUUAUACCGUAGCUUGCUACACCAUAGACUGUGAGUUGCGAACGGGUGAGUAACGCGUAGGUAACCUGCCUGGUAGCGGGGGAUAACUAUUGGAAACGAUAGCUAAUACCGCAUAAUAUUAAUUAUUGCAUGAUAAUUAAUUGAAAGGUGCAAUUGCACCACUACCAGAUGGACCUGCGUUGUAUUAGCUAGUAGGUGAGGUAACGGCUCACCUAGGCGACGAUACAUAGCCGACCUGGGAGGGUGAUCGGCCACACUGGGACUGAGACACGGCCCAGACUCCUACGGGAGGCAGCAGUAGGGAAUCUUCGGCAAUGGACGAAAGUCUGACCGAGCAACGCCGCGUGAGUGAAGAAGGUUUUCGGAUCGUAAAGCUCUGUUGUAAGAGAAGAACGGGUGUGAGAGUGGAAAGUUCACACUGUGACGGUAUCUUACCAGAAAGGGACGGCUAACUACGUG